GUUGUGCGGAAGCGUCAACCAACUGCGAGUGAAAAAUAACAACAGGUAGGAGAAAAAUAGAACAAAAUAAUCAACAAGAACAACACCAAGAUUUAUACUGGUUCGGCAAUUGCCUACAUCCAGUUUGGAGACGACGGAGUAUUCCACUAUAAUCAAUGACAGAAUACAAUAGUGUUUAACCACUCAGAAAACUCAAGCCCCAAAUAUACCCAAGCUCACACACUCAAGAAUAUAAAGGGGAUACAAAUUGAGUACAAUUUAGAGAGGGAAAAAUAACCAACAAUAGCAACAAAAGCUUAGUUGCCCAAACUAUUAUUUUUCUCUCUCCCAACUUCUCUCUUCUCUCAUCAACUCUCGAUGCUUUCCGCUCUACAUUUUUUCCAAAUGCAUGUUCCCUUUUAUAAGCCAAACAUUUGCUCUUCAACCACCCAACAGCAAAAGCAAAACACACAAGUCAAAAGGUAAAAGUAAGCCAUCAAUGCUAGCCAUUAAUUUGUCUCCAAUUUGUCUGCUAGCCGAAAGCACCGCAAGAUGUCUGCCAGCCGAAAGCAGUUUUUCUUUUGACUAAUUUUUUGAGCCAAUCAUCAACAAUCUCCACCUUGGCUCAAAACCUUGAAGCAACACUCUCAAUGGUCGUCUCCCAAUCCCCCAUGGGGCAAUCAACAAACUUUACAAAUGCCAAUUAAGUCUAAGCAAUGCUUAAACUUGAGCAACGAAACUGGCUUUGUCAACAUAUCCGCAGGAUUCUCAGCGGUCCCAAUCUUCUGAAGAAGAAUAUUUCCCUCGUCAAUAAUCUCACGAACAAAAUGGAACCUCACGUCAAUGUGUUUUGUACGUGCAUGAUGAACUUGAUUCUUUGCUAAAUAAAUAGCACUCUGACUGUCACAAUGAACAUCCACAUGGUCCUGUUCAAUCCCCAAGUCAUCAAGCAAUCCUUGAAGCCAGAUGGCUUCCUUUAUAGCUUCUGUUACCGCCAUGUAUUCAGCCUCCGUAGUCGACAGAGCAACUGUAGAUUGCAGAAUCGACCUCCAACUCACUGGACCUCCAGCAAUAGUGAAUACAAAACCUGUAGUGGACCUACGCUUGUCCAAAUCACCUGCGUAAUCAGAAUCCACAUAUCCAACAACACAUUGACCAGUAACUUUAUCAUGCUGAAACAAUAAACCAACAUCCACAGUACCCAGAAUAUACCGUAGAAUCCAUUUCACAGCUUGCCAAUGCUCUUUUCCUGGAUUAUGCAUAUAUCUACUGACAAUACUAACAGCUUGUGAAAUAUCAGGCCUCGUACACACCAUAGCAUACAUCAAACUACCAACAGCACUUGCAUAUGGAAUUUGAGCCAUGUAAUGACUCUCUUCACCAGUUUUAGGAGACAUAGAAGCACUAAGUUUGAAAUGAGGGGCAAGAGGUGUACUAACCGGUUUUGAAUUUUCAUUCAUCCCGAAACGCUGUAGUACCUUCUUUAAAUACUGCUUUUGACACAGACUAAUCUUGCCCUUCGCUCUAUCUCUUUCAAUUUCCAUACCCAGUAUCUUCCGAGCUUCUCCUAAGUCCUUCAUCUCAAAUUCAUUACUCAGUUGAGUCUUCAACCUUUCAAUCUCCACUUUGCUUUUACAUGCUAUAAGCAUAUCAUCAACAUAUAAAAGCAGAUAGAUGAAGGUUCCAUCUUGUAGCUUGCGAAAGUAUACACAAUGGUCAUAAUGAUUUCUUGUGUACUUCUGCCCGAUCAUAAACCGAUCAAAUCGCUUAUACCAUUGUCUUGGAGACUGCUUCAAGCCGUACAAUGAUUUUUGCAAUUUGCAAACCCAAUUUUCUUUUCCAGCAACCUUAAAACCUUCUGGCUGAGACAUAUAAAUUUCUUCCUCCAAAUCACCAUGUAAGAAUGCAGUCUUGACAUCAAGUUGAGCCAACUCAAGGUCAAACUGCGCAACCAAAGCCAACAAAAUACGAAUAGAGGAAUGUUUUACUACAGGAGAAAAUACCUCAUUGUAGUCAAUGCCUUCCUUCUGAGCAUAUCCUUUAGCUACUAAUCUGGCUUUGAAUCUCACAUUGUCUUUUCCCAAAGAUUCCAUCUUCUUGGCAUAAACUCAUUUGCAACCAAUUGCUUUCUUCCCCUUUGGUAACUGAACCAGCUCCCAAGUCUCAUUUUUAUGAAGAGACUUCAUCUCCUCAUCCAUAGAUUUCUUCCACUCCACGCUCUCUGAACUUCUGACAGCUUCUUUGUAGGCGGAUGGAAUAUCAUCUUCAAUAACGGGAAGUGCAUAUGCCACAAUAUCAGUAAAUCGAACAGGCUUUCGAAUCUCCCUUCUCGAUCUUCUGAUUGCAAUAGAAUCUUGUUGCUGUGGAGGCUCUUGGGUAGGUGCCUCCUCUUCAUCAUCCUCGUCCUCUUCAUCAGAAUCAACUGUAGGACUAGUGUCUGUAGUAUCAGACCUUACUGGAACAACUGGAGUUUUCAGUAACUCCACCUGCUUUGAACUACUCAUGGUCUUAGUUGCUUCAAUUUCACCUUCAUGCUUGUUCUGAUUUACCAUAGCAGCCUCAUCAAAAGUCACAUCUCUGCUUACAACAAAUUUCUUCUCAUCUGGACACCAAAGUCGGUAUCCCUUCACGCCAGUGCUAAAUCCCAUAAAUAGAGCUUUCUUUGCUCUUGGAUCUAACUUGCUCUCCCUGACAUGAUAGUAAGCAGGACAACCAAAUAUGUGUAAAUACUUGUAAUCAGUACAAGGUUUACCAGACCAUACCUCCAUGGGCGUUUUGCCCUCAUUCGCAGCAGCAGGCAACCGAUUAAUGAGAUAGCUUGCAUAAGUAAUCGCCUCAGCCCAAAACGCCUUGCCUAAACCAGCAUUAGACAACAUACACCGAACUUUCUCAAGCAAAGUACGGUUCAUGCGUUCUGCCACCCCAUUCUGUUGCGGUGUCUCCCUAACCGUGAAGUGCCUCACAAUACCCUCAUCUUGACAAACUUUCAAGAAGGGAUCAGACUUAUAUUCACCACCAUUGUCUGAUCUGAGAGUCUUGAUCUUUCGACCGCUUUGCGUUUCAAUCAUCUUUUUCCACUUCAGGAAUAUCCUCAAGACUUCAUCUUUACGCUUCAUGGUGUACACCCAUAUUCUUCUAGAGAAGUCAUCAACAAAGGAGACAAAAUAAUGGCUACCUCCCCAAGAUGCAUUAUUGGAGGGUCCCCAAACAUCAGUGUGAACAUAAUCUAGAAUGCCUUUAGUGUGGUGAAUAGCAGUGCCAAAUUUCACUCUAGUUUGCUUACCCAGCACACAGUGUUCACAGAAUUCCAAUUUGCAUGCCUUUGCACCUUUCAAUAAGCCUUGCUUCACCAAUCCUUGCAACGCUUUUUCACCAGCAUGCCCGAGACGCAUAUGUCAUAACCUUGUGGUGUCUGUGCUAUCUGCGUCAGCAGCUUCGGUGACAGCUGCUCCACCAAUAACUGUACUACCCUGCAAGAAAUACAAGUUAUUUCGUCUUGUACCUUUCAUCACCACCAGUGCCCCAUGCACAGCUUUAAGAACUCCACCCUCCAUGGUGAUCUUGAGACCCUUGGAUUCCAAAGCGCCCAAUGAGAUGAGAUUCUUCUUCAUAUCCGGAACAUACCGAACAUCACUCAAUUCUCUGACUGUUCCAUCAUGCAUCUUCAAACAGAUUUUGCCUAUCCCUUGUGUUUUGCAGGCAUUAUUAUUGCCCAUCAAAACAACUCCACCAUCCAGCUCCUCGAAGCUAGAAAACCAUUCCCGAAUAGGACACAUAUGAUAGGUGCAACCUGAAUCCAAAAUCCACUCAGUUGAGUGACCAUCAGCAGAUGAACUAGCCAAAGCAAACUCGAAAUCUUCAUCUCCAGAUUUUGCAACAUUUGCUUCAGAACCCGCUUUCUCCUUCUCCUUGUUCUUCAAUUUGGGACAGUCUUUCUUCCAAUGACCCUUUUGGCGACAAAAGGCACAUUCAUCUUUAGCAAGAAACUUCCCUCGUGACUUUGAACGAGAUUUUCCCCGCUUCCCAGAUUUUCUUUCCUCUGUUCGACCCCUUGCAACAAGUGCCUCGGUUUGUGAAUUUUGAGUCUUUUGUUCCUUCUUUCGACACUCAUGAUUCACCAAUGCCGCAGACACCUCAUCCAGUUUCACCUCGGAUUUUCCAUACAACAAAGUAGUUGUCAAAUGAUCAUAAUCAUCAGGCAAUGAAUUUAACAAACAUAGUGCCUUAUCCUCGUCAGGAAUUAUCACAUCAAGAUUUGCUAAAUCAGCAAGUAUUUUAUUAUAAUCAUUGAGGUGUUCAUGCAUAGAAAUACCUGAGCGAUAUUGAAAUCGGAAGAGUCGUUUCUUCAAGAAGAGCCGAUUUUCUGUGCUCUUGGUCAUAUACUUCUCCUCCAAUUUCAUCCAUAACUUCUUAGCAGAAGUUUCCUUCAUAUACGGGUAUUUCAACUCCUUAUCAAGGAACGAUCGAAUAGUGGCACAAGCAUGGAGAUUAAUUCGAGUCCACUGCUUGUCAUCAAUAUCUUCUGGUUUAUCCUCCAGAACCAUAUCCAACUCUUGUUGAUACAACACAUCCAUAACUUCACAUUGCCACAUACCAAAAUUAUUGGAGCCAUUAAAUUUAUCAACCUCUAACCUUGUACUGGCAAUUGGAUGUCUAUUGGAUGUAGGUGCCGACGAAGACGAUGUCGAUUCCUUUUCCUUCAAAAUUUCAACUUUUUCUCCAGCCAUCAAAUCUGCCCGGCACUAUUCACUGCUACUGUAGAACAGCACUAUUCACGGGGGGGCACUGUAGCACCGACACUAUUCACGUGCACUAUUCACCCGUCACUGUAGCACCGACAGAUUUUUCACUCCCACGAAACCCCAGUCGAAAAACUGGAGCUCUGAUACCACUUGUUGUGCAGAAGCGUCAACCAACUGCGAGUGAAAAAUAACAACAGGCAGGAGAAAAAUAGAACAAAAUAAUCAACAAGAACAACACCAAGAUUUAUACUGGUUCGGCAAUUGCCUACAUCCAGUUUGGAGACGACGGAGUAUUCCACUAUAAUCAAUGAGAGAAUACAAUAGUGUUUAACCACUCAGAAAACCCAAGCCCCAAAUAUACCCAAGCUCACACACUCAAGAAUAUAAAGGGGAUACAAAUUGAGUACAAUUUAGAGAGGGAAAAAUAACCAACAAUAGCAACAAAAGCUUAGUUGCCCAAACUAUUAUUUUUCUCUCUCCCAACUUCUCUCUUCUCUCAUCAACUCUCGAUGCUUUCCGCUCUACAUUUUUCCCAAAUGCAUGUUCCCUUUUAUAAGCCAAACAUUUGCUCUUCAACCACCCAACGGCAAAAGCAAAACACACAAGUCAAAAGGUAAAAGUAAGCCAUCAAUGCU
rnacentral:lncRNA from 1 species